AACGAACGCUGGCGGCAUGCCUAACACAUGCAAGUCGAACGAGACCUUCGGGUCUAGUGGCGCACGGGUGCGUAACGCGUGGGAAUCUGCCCUUGGGUUCGGGAUAACAGUUGGAAACGACUGCUAAUACCGGAUGAUGACUUCGGUCCAAAGAUUUAUCGCCCAGGGAUGAGCCCGCGUCGGAUUAGCUUGUUGGUGAGGUAAAGGCUCACCAAGGCGACGAUCCGUAGCUGGUCUGAGAGGAUGAUCAGCCACACUGGGACUGAGACACGGCCCAGACUCCUACGGGAGGCAGCAGUGGGGAAUAUUGGACAAUGGGCGCAAGCCUGAUCCAGCAAUGCCGCGUGAGUGAUGAAGGCCUUAGGGUUGUAAAGCUCUUUUACCCGGGAAGAUAAUGACUGUACCGGGAGAAUAAGCCCCGGCUAACUCCGUGC
rnacentral:rRNA from 1 species